AGGGUUUGAUCAUGGCUCAGAACGAACGCUGGCGGCAUGCCUAACACAUGCAAGUCGAACGCUAUUUAUAGAGUGGCGCACGGGUGAGUAACGCGUGGGAACCUGCCUUUCUCUGCGGGACAACGGUUGGAAACGACCGCUAAUACCGCAUACGCCCUACGGGGGAAAGGUCAGCCGGAGAGAGAGGGGCCCGCGUUAGAUUAGCUAGUUGGUGAGGUAAUGGCCUACCAAGGCGACGAUCCAUAGCUGGUCUGAGAGGAUGAUCAGCCACACUGGGACUGAGACACGGCCCAGACUCCUACGGGAGGCAGCAGUGGGGAAUAUUGGACAAUGGGGGCAACCCUGAUCCAGCCAUGCCGCGUGAGUGAUGAAGGCCCUAGGGUUGUAAAGCUCUUUCAGUGGUGAAGAUAAUGACGGUAACCACAGAAGAAGCUCCGGCUAACUCCGUGCCAGCAGCCGCGGUAAUACGGAGGGAGCUAGCGUUGUUCGGAAUUACUGGGCGUAAAGCGCGCGUAGGCGGCUUGACAAGUUGAGGGUGAAAGCCCGGGGCUCAACCCCGGAACUGCCUCCAAAACUGUCGAGCUAGAGUAUGAUAGAGGAAAGCAGAAUUUCUAGUGUAGAGGUGAAAUUCGUAGAUAUUAGAAAGAAUACCAAUUGCGAAGGCAGCUUUCUGGAUCAUUACUGACACUGAGGAACGAAAGCAUGGGUAGCGAAGAGGAUUAGAUACCCUCGUAGUCCAUGCCGUAAACGAUGUGUGUUAGACGUUGGAAAUUUAUUUUCAGUGUCGCAGGGAAACCGAUAAACACACCGCCUGGGGAGUACGACCGCAAGGUUAAAACUCAAAUGAAUUGACGGGGACCCGCACAAGUAGUGGAGCAUGUGGUUUAAUUCGAAGAUACGCGCAGAACCUUACCAACACUUGACAUGUUCGUCGCGACUCUAAGAGAUUAGAGUUUUUGCCUUCGGGAACACAGUGACAGGUGCUGCAGGGCUGUCGUCAGCUCGUGUCGUGAGAUGUUGGGUUAAGUCCCGUAACGAGCGCAACCCUUGUCCUUAUUUGCCAUCAUUAAGUUGGGCACUCUAGGGAUACUGCCGGUGACAAACCGGAGGAAGGUGGGGACGACGUCAAGUCAUCAUGGCCCUUACGACCAGGGCUACACACGUGCUACAAUGGAGCGUACAAAGGGUUGCGACCUCGCGAGAGUGAGCUAAUCCCAUAAAACGUUUCGUAGUCCGGAUCGCAGUCUGCAACUCGACUGCGUGAAGUCGGAAUCGCUAGUAAUCGUGAAUCAGAAUGUCACGGUGAAUACGUUCCCGGGCCUUGUACACACCGCCCGUCACACCAUGGGAGUGGGUUGCAAAAGAAGUGGGUAGCAUAACCUUCGGGAGUGCGCUCACCAAAUUGUGAUUCAUGACUGGGGUGAAGUCGUAACAAGGUAGCCGUA
rnacentral:rRNA from 1 species